rnacentral:lncRNA from 1 species
CAAGCCAGCGGAGGGAGCAGAGACAAAGCAUGCUGACGGAGGAAGUGAAGUGUGCUCUGCAGCAUGUGGACCAUGUGCUCAGGUAAGAACAACUCCAACUCCUUUCUGUCCUUGUACACGUCUGUUUCUCUCUGCCACUCUAUUUCUCUAUGUCUGUUUCUCUGUCCCUGUCUCUCUCUAUCUAUCUGCAUCUCUGUGCCCCAUGGGUGCCAUUAGAAAGCAGAUAACUGCCGAGUGUCGAGCCCGCGGAAGGUGUCUGCAACCCUGGGCUCUCUGCUGCACAGCUGUCGGUGUUUGGAGCAGCAAGGACCGGAGGAAGGAGCCUCGACUCUGGAAACAGACAACCACAAAAAGCAGAGGACGCGGUGGAGACAUCCUUCUACAGACCAGGAAAUGGCUUCCCUCUCUCUGGUUGGACUGUUCCGCAGAUCCGGCCGAACCAAUCAGACCCUCCAGAUCUGGCCCGGCGGAACGUUGGAGCUGAGUAUCUGAUUGGCCGAUGCUCUGAUGGUCUGAUUGUGCUGAAAGAGGACCAGUUGGUGAGAGUGCUGUAGACUAAGGGUUGGUUAUGGAUAUUGUUCAUCUCUCAUGUGAAUUGAAUUUAGUGGAAAAGCAACCUGUGGCUCUGAACUAUGGAUGAAAAGUGGAGAAAUAGAAAUCAUACUGCCUUGUCUUGGCCUCCAAGCUGAUGAUAAGUAAUAACGAACAUGGCCUGUCCUCCCAACACACACACCCACAAACACACCCAACUUACACAUCCUACACACACCCACACACACAUGCCCACAUACUGUAUACUUCAGUAAACGCCAACACCCACACACAUCCACACAUACAUAAUACCCAACUGCCACCCAAUAAACACACACACACAUACACACACACAGUGAUGGUCGCCCCCUGCUUUGAGGCCAGGCAGGGUAAUGAUUAAGUUCCUCUUGGCUCCUCUUACUGUGUGUCUGUGUGUGUGUGCCUGCCUGCGUGCUUGCGUGCGUGCGUGGAUGUGGUCAGGCCCAGUCAUCUCCCAGGCAGCUAGGAGGAAACCCACAUCAACUGAAACACACUCCAGGAAUAGGCUUACGCUUAUAUAUACACACACACACAGCGCUGGUGUCAACCCUUCUUUAUCUCUCUUCACAAUGUUUUAUAUUGUGUUCUAUAUAAACUCAUGUGACUAUUACAGCUUGUAUUUGGAUGCUUGCUGGCUUGAAGUGUUGUAGAUUUUCUAACCUACUGUAUCUAAAAAUCAAAUGGUAUUUUGCUUUUGUCAGUGGAGUUUGGACUAGUGUACAUCAGUGUGAACAGAAAAGGAUCCACUCCAAUGGCUGUAUGGUGUGUGAUUGUGCUUCCAUUGACCUUGUCCUGCUGAGUAAGACUACAGAUGUAGGAUCUUAAUUUGAUCACUCUUUUGUUGCUGAGAAUUUCCCUGCACAGCAGGAGAUGCAAACUUGUAAUGUGUUUGAGUUUAAAAAAAGCCUUCUAAAGAUUGUCUUUUCCACUUUGACAUUUCAGAUGUGAUUUACCCUAACAAAAAAUGUUUCAAACCCUAUAAAAUGUCCAUGAAUUAUAAUCCACAUAGUAAUUCACAUGUCCUGUUGCUGCAUGGUUAUUGUCCUGCGGUAGCAAACUGGCUCAAGUGAAGAUCCUACAUCUGUAGUGUCCCUCUCAACCGUAAGGCUUUGAGCUUCACUGGAAACAACUGAGCCAUUUACAUACACUUGACCACUUCUGAUAGGCCACAAUGGCAGCAUCACAUGGGUGCACGCCCACACGCCCACACACACAGCAUUAUCAAAGGAUGGAAAGAAGCAGAUAAGAUAGAAGGAUCGAGAGUGGAACAUACCCUAUCACCGUAUCACUGAUCAUGUAAACUAAGUCUAACUGGUUUAGGUCUGUUACCAUUACACACACAAACGCAGUCACACAAUACUCACGCUUUAAUGUUUUCACUGGGUUUGCAGUAUACUCCAGCUUUGCUAAUCUCGGUUAACCCAGAACUAAAUUCUCACGUAGUUGGUAAGCUGCUCGAUUAAGUUCUGGAUCCGUACGUGUUAAGAGAAGAGAGGAAGAGAUACUAGAACGAGGAGCGGAACCGGAACGAGGAGCUCCACCCUCUCUUUUUGACAGUUACAGGCCAAAUGUCCCCUCCCUUUCCGAAACUCGAAAGAUGCUAACAACUGCGAAAUCAUGAUUUGUUCGAAUAACCAAUGAUGAAAAAAAAACAAAAACACUGGAACUAAUGCUGCUCGUUAUCCCACACAUCCCAUUCCUUCCCCACAGAUUCUAACGUACCAGUUAUGUAGAUCUGUCCACGAGAGACUGACACUGUAAGUCUUGAUCAAGUUAUGAUCAGAAGGGAAACAUGAACCCCUGUCGCUGACUUGUUGCAUUGUGUGUGUUAUAGGUGUCCUGAGUGGACCAAGCCGCGGUCACCAGGGUGACCAUGCUCACCACAGCACUGUGCUGUCAGCCGCCCUGCUGACCUUUCAACUACCACCAGACAUCAGCUGUUCUAAUUCUAACAUCUGUCUACAGGUAAGACUGAACUUCAGCCCUCCGAAGUCCUAUUCCUCAGCCAAUCAGCAAGCUCUCUGGGGACUGGGCAUGCUCAGUAGCAGGGUCAGGGUUAAAAUAGUGUUCUCUUCCUGAAUUAAAAAAGAACUGAGCAUAAUUAAAAUGACUCAAAUUGACCCCAGCCCUGCUUUGUAGCUCAGUGGUGCCUCCUGCUUGCUCGCGCAAGUCAUGGAUUGAUUGAUUGGCAACAGUUGUGUUUAGCCCUCCUCUUUCAUUCCCUUCUCUCUCUCUCUCUCUCUCUCUCUCUCUCUCUCUCUCUCUCUCUCGCUCUCGCUCUCGCUCUCUCUCUGUGGAAUGUACCGGGUCCUUCUCAAUUCAUUCAUGUGGAUCCAGGAAGCGCAUUCCUCCCCACAGCCCCAGGCCAUGCUCCACCACCCUACCACACAUACAGUACACAGUCCACUGCCCAGUAGUCACUAUUGGCCAUGCUAAAAAGUACAGAAGUGACAAUAUCAUCCGAAGUUUGGCUCGUCCCAUUGCCUAGUUGAUCUAGUGAUCUCACUGCCACCACCUCCGACUGAUGUGGCACUACUUUCCUCUCUACAGCAGUCAUCACCAAUGUCAGCCCUGCAUCACAUACUCAACCCACUCAACAACUCUCUCUGUCUCUCUCUGUCUCUCAGUCAACACUGCAACUCCUACGUCAGUCUUGACAUGGGACUCAAACUCACUGAACUCAUUGAACUCUCAACAAUAAUGUCAUCACCAGCCAAAACACUCCAAGAGCACACAAUUCUAGAAGGAGAAAGGGCCCUAGUUUUGGGCCACAAAGAUUGCUAGAAUCAAAAAUAGAGAGAGAGAGAGAGAGAGAGAGAGAGAGAGCUAGUUGAGUAGAGUACUAGACUGCUAUGUUUGAUCAAUAUGGUCAUGCGGCUUCAGGUAUGCAGAGGCAAAACUGGACAGAGGACAAGAGGGAGAGCCCAGCAUACAUACCCCUCCAUCCUCCAUGUGUCCAUUCCUCCCCUAGAUUCCCCUCUUUCCUCCCUCUUUUCGCACAGUAUGCAUCCUUCCAUCUCUCCCUCUCCAUGUUCUGAUCUGCCUCUCCAUUUGUUCAUCCAUCUCUCAAUAUCUCUCUCCUCUUUACUCUCCUUCACUCUAUUCCUUCCCAUGUCCUCUCCUCUUCUUUCCUCCCUCCCCCACUUCGAUUAGGUGGUUGAGUUUUCCCUGGAGGGAAUUAUGUAUGAUAUUACGGUAAAUAACUGCCAUGAUAAUCUCAUACAGAUUUGUCCACAUAUGACUUAUUUUGUAUGGUACUCGUGGAGGGUAAGCUGAUCCUAGAUCAGUAUUAAAGUUUGUAUCUAAUGGUUCAGGUUAGGAUUUGGAGAGGGUAAGCUGAUCCUAGAUCAGUAGUAAAGUUUGUAUCUAAUGGUUCAGGUUAGGAGUUGGAGAGGGUAAGCUGAUCCUAGAUCAGUAGUAAAGUUUGUAUCUAAUGGUUCAGGUUAGGAUUUGGAGAGGGUAAGCUGAUCAGUGCCUAGAGCAAAGUGCCUAAAGGAAACUUCUCCCUAAAAGAGAAUGCAAGUGUGGCAUCAGAGUCACUGUGGAGCUGACAUGACAGUGGCUGCUGCCUCCAGUUGCCCCAGGCCUAAUGGGAAAGAAUGUCAGGAAUCUGAAACUGAUAAUGCCAUGCUUAGAGAUAACUAUAGAGAGAUCAUUCCCAUAUCCUUCCCUCCCCUCACCCCAUCUUCUCUGUCUGUUCUGUCUCUCCCUCGUCACCCUUCUCCUCUUCCUUCCCCCCUCCCCUCUCCUCUCACCCCACCCUCUCUCUGUCUCUCACCCCAUUCCCUCUCCUUGUUUCUUCUCCUCCCUCCCCCUUCCUUCUCCUCUCUCUUAAUAGCUGCAGUCAAUGUUGCCUUAUUGAUUCCUUACCCAAUAAUGACCAUCUCUUUCUCCCACUUUCUCUCUUUCUCUCUCUAACCAGAAUGGACCCAAUGAUCAUAUGAGGAUGAAGACCAUGAUGAAGGCAAUGCAAAUUCAUCAACGUGGAUCCUUUAUCUAUAUCUGCAGCCCCCCCCGCCUGUAUUUGUGUGUGGGUCAAUUGCUCAGUAGGCAGUGUAGAUCCUGUGUAAUUAUCAGCAGCUACAUCUGGCUACUGGGUCUCUGAACACACGCCACUGCCCACUUCCUACUUCCGGCCUGGUGGUACAUCCCAUUACCAACUGAUUGGCUAAUUGCACAUUCAAUUUCUCUCUGAUUGUCUAGUAUGUUAUCAUAUGGGCUGUUACAUCUCAUGACAGUACAGGAUGCUCUCUAUGCCUAUGCUUGUCAUUUCCCCCAAAAAUCUGAAUAUUUUUUUCUCUCUCUUCUCCUCUCAAUUAUUUUCUCCCUCUGCACCGUCCUUGGCGAGAACCAUUCAAACUCUUCUUGGUAUUCUUCUCUGAAUUGUGCUGUUUUCUAAAAGAGAGAAAAGAGAAUUGACGAGAGCAGAAAAAAAGCGAGCCAGAGUUGAAGGAAAUGUCAAAUGUGUCAGGCACAAUAGCACAGAGCCUUUAAGAGAGGAGAACAUUGUUUAGGAUGUGAUGCCUGCCGUUUCCAUAGAAAUAUGUCUAUAGAGAACAGGCAAGAUGAAAUGUCACAUUCUCUCUAUGAUCACUCAGUCAGAGACAGUGUGCGCGUGGGUGGGUGUGUGUGUGUGACAGCUGACGAGACAUCUUUGCUUGGUCCUGGACCUAGCAUACAAUGUAGAUUUCUGUGUGGUUUAAACUACAGCUACAUUGUCUGCUGGGUUUCAGGCUGGCAACAAAAGCAGCCUUCAACAGCUAAAUGAUUCAAUAACUCAACGAAUCAAAUCUUCGAUAACUCAACGAAUCAACUCUUCAAGAACUAAACGAUUCUACUCUUCAAGAACUCAACGAAUCAACUCUUCAAGAACUCAAUGAGGUAAGUUCACAUUCAUUCCGCCACUGUGUCAAAUGUUUCACCUUAAAAAUACAAUGAAAUGUCAUAUCUUUUAAUAAACAUCUAGAAAAGUAUAUGGUCGUGCGACUGGUUUUUCAUAUGAAAGUGUGAAGUGUUUUCAGUUUAUUUUUUUAAGUGUUAUUUUAUAGGGAAAUAUCACAUUGGGAAAAAACUAUAUUUGGCUUGACAAUGACAUCACUGGAGUAGGUAAGAGUACAAACAGAGCUGGGACCAGCUGGAGAGAAUCUAGAUGGAGUCUACAGGGGCAAUUUAUUUCUCUAGAAAUGAUUUGUAUUUAGAAUAAAUACCUGUAUAAAAUAACUCAAAGCCAGACAUAUACUGAUACUUAACAUGUCUAGCCACAGUUGUUUAAAUUUCCCGUUAUGGAAAAAACACAUUAAUUUCACAUGUGAACACGUGAUCUCAGGUGAUCAUGUGAUUUAAUGUGAAGCUAAUGACACUAUACGUUACAACAUUUGAGCACGUGAAAGCCCAGGUGUCAAAUUUUAUUUAAAAUAUUUUACUUUAAAAGGCAUAAUUUACAUUAUUACAUUUAAACAGUCAUGGUUCCCUGCAGGUUUUAUAUAGCUCCCGGUUUGUUCCAGGGACGUCCCCAAGGACGCUUUUAGGACGUUCUCUGAACAUUGUGUUAUGGUCCGGUGGAGUUUUUUUUCUAGCUGCUGUAAAAAUACAAAAAGUUCCGUGUUUUUACAGCAGAAUUAAGGUAUUAAUGGACAGUAUACUGCUAUAUACUGAUUACUUGGGACUCAACCUCCCUUGGGAUUUAUACUCUCAACCUCUUGGCUGCUAGCCACCUGAAGUUUCUGCUGCUCCACCAGGUCUGUGGACACAAUGGAGAUUCACAAUAUAUUUAUUGCCAAGAAUAGAUUUCUUGCAGUAAAAAUAAAGUAAAAAUGUACAGCAACUUUAAGGUGUUAUUUUUAUAAAAUGACAUUAUGCUGCUGUAUUCUGAUUUCAGUUACUGUAAAAUUGUCUGUAAUUUUGUACUGUGACCACAAUUGUGACUCAGCUUUAAAGAUGCACAAUGCAGAAAUCGCUCCACAAUUUCCUGGUUGCUAAAAUUCUAAUAGUUCGCCUGAUUUCAGUUUAUGUGACAUAACAAGCAAGUAUAGUGUAGAGAAUCGUUGUACCAUCCAAACGCUGUGAAAUAUAUUUUCCAUAACCCAAAAUAAUGUGUUUGAAGCUGGUGUACAAAACCAAAAGACGCAAGAACAAAAACUAAGAACGGGAAGCAUAGAAAUAGAUCUACCGCUUCUUAGACUUGCUUUCAAUGAAAAUGACAGACCUAUAACACACAUUUCUAUGUGAAUUUGGUCAAGUCGCCCCCAAAAUUAUAUAUUGCAACUGAAAUGGGAUUUGAGCUCAUAAACUCUUGGUCGUUAGCAGCCUGAAAUGUCUUGCUACAGUGCAGCUACACCACCAGAUCUGUGAGCGUGAAAGAGAUACUGUAUGAUCACAGACAUUGGCAAGAAUGCAUUUCUGCACUUUACUGAAAGCUGCACAGAACCAAGUAAAUAAUGUCCAAUUAUCACCACCAACAUAGCAGUCCUCAAGGACACAUAACAUAGAGUAUACAUUUACGCCUUUGGGAUUUGAACUUGCAACUUCUUGGUUGGGGCGCAGUUAAUGUUUCUGCAAUGCCACUAAGUUUAUACUUAUUGCUUGGAACAUACAAUAUAUUAACACACUCUCAAAAAAUAAGGGUAUGGCUAGGGUACACUACAAUGUUGUUUCCUGGGUUACAAAAAGGUCAAAGGUACACUUCACUGGUACAUACACUACAUGACCAAAAGUAUGUGGACACCUGCUAGCCAAACAUCUCAUUCCAAAACCAUGGCCAUUAAAAUGGAGUUGGUCCCCCCUUUGUUGCUAUAACAGCCUCCACUCUUCUGGGAAGGCUUUCCACUAGAUGUUGGAACAUUGCUGCGGGGACUUGCUUUCAUUUAGCCACAAGAGCAUUAGUGAGGUCGGGCACUGAUGUUUGGCGAUUAGGCCUGGAUUGCAGUCGGCGUUCCAAUUCAUCCCAAAGGGGUUCAAUGUCGUUGAGGUCAGAGCUCUAAGCAGGCCAAUCGAGUUCUUCCACACUGAUCUCAACAAACCAUUUCUGUAUGGACCUCGCUUUGUGCACGGGAGCGUUGUCAUGCUGAAACAGGAAAGGGCCUUCCCCAUACACUUGCCACAAAGUUUGAAGCACAGAAUCAUCUAGAAUGUCAAUGUAUGCUGUGGCAUAAAUAUUUCCCUUCACUGGAAUGAAGGGGCCUAGCCCAAACCAUGAAAACCAGCCCCAGAGCAUUAUUCCUCCUCCACCAAACUUUACAGCUGGCAGGUAGCGUUCUCCUGGCAACCGCCAAAUCCAUAUUCAUCCGUCAGACUGCCAGAUGGCAAAGCAUGAUUCAUCAAUCCAGAGAGCACAUUUCCACUGCUCCAGAGUCCAAUGGCAGCAAGCUUUACACCAUUCUAGCGACGCUU